AACGAACGCUGGCGGCAGGCCUAACACAUGCAAGUCGAGCGGACCUUUCGGGGUCAGCGGCGGACGGGUGAGUAACGCGUGGGAAUAUGCCCUUCUCUACGGAAUAGUCCUGGGAAACUGGGGGUAAUACCGUAUACGCCCUUUGGGGGAAAGAUUUAUCGGGGAAGGAUUAGCCCGCGUUGGAUUAGGUAGUUGGUGGGGUAAUGGCCUACCAAGCCGACGAUCCAUAGCUGGUUUGAGAGGAUGAUCAGCCACACUGGGACUGAGACACGGCCCAGACUCCUACGGGAGGCAGCAGUGGGGAAUCUUAGACAAUGGGGGCAACCCUGAUCUAGCCAUGCCGCGUGAGUGAUGAAGGCCUUAGGGCUGUAAAGCUCUUUCAGCUGGGAAGAUAAUGACGGUACCAGCAGAAGAAGCCCCGGCUAACUCCGUG
rnacentral:rRNA from 1 species